rnacentral:rRNA from 1 species
UCUCGUGAUGAUGGCAUAGAGGUAACACUCCUUCCCAUUCCGAACAGGAAAGUUAAGGUCUAUAGCGCCG